AUAUACAUUCGGGCAUCAAUGCAAAAUAUUGUUCCGACUGGAAGUAGCUGACCAUGAUGACAUUGCACAAGAUCACCAUAAAGCAGAGACAGGAGAGCCGAAAAUAUCCUUGCAUGCAAUUACAGGAAUACAAAAUACGCUGACCAUGCAAUUAUGAGUCGUAAUGAAGGGUCAUCCCCAAUGGGUCUAGCAGACUAGAAAAGCACCCAUAAUUUUGUAAGUUGCACAGCAGCCAAACGCCUCCACCUAACUAUCCAUCCUUGGACAGACUUAAGUGUAUCAAUUGCUAAUGGAGAAGGCAGUAUCAUUUUAUGUUGCUAAUGAUCAUUUUAUGGCUGACUUCUUUGUUAUUCCUUUGGAUUGCUUUGAUAUUGUCUUAAGCGUCAAAUGGCUCCAAACUUUGGGACCAAUUCUCUGGAAUUCACUUCUCUCACUUUGAGUUUUGAGCUUCAAGGGAAAUCCAUCACUCUCCAAGGUCAUCAGAAUAAAGUGGGGCAUCAGAUGCACUUGUUAGGAGGGCAAAAGAACCCUGACACUAGGCUAGACCAGUUACUAGAGCACUUUAGUGAUUUGUUUCUUGAACCAAAAAGGUUUCCGCCACUUCAAGCUUGUGACCAUCGUAUCUGUUUACAUCCCCACCUGCAGAAAGAUGAAAUCAAGAAACAAUGUGACCAAAUACUUCAACAAGGCAUAAUCCAUCCCAGCAAAGUCUCCAUUCUCUUUGCCUGUUUUGUUGCUUCGCAAGUAAGAUGGGACAUGGCGCUUUUGUGUCUAUUUAGACAGUUCAAUACUAGGACGGUUGAGGACAACUUUCCCAUUCCAGUGGUGGAAAAAUUGCACAAUAAACUUCAUGGGGCGCAAUACUUCACCAAAUCAGAUCUUCGAUCAGGCUACCAUCAAAUUCGAAUGGAUACCACUUACACUCAGAAAAUAGCUUUCCACACUCAUCAUGGAUACUUCGAGUUCUUG
rnacentral:misc_RNA from 1 species